UCUUGAGCACAGCUGAGUUCGCUGCAGCUGCUACCUCUUGAUAACAUUGUUAGUGCAAGUUGAGGUUCUUCUCAAACAUGUCUCCUGCUCCUCAGAAUAGAAGGUAGUCUGUGAGAAACUGCUUGGUAGAAGAGCAGCAGCAAAGGCAAGGCUCAGGCUGGUUCCAUGGAGCUCCUUGUCUCCACUUGAGAACAGUAAAAUAAAAAAAAUAGUGGGGAAGACGAGAGACCCCUGUAACACUCCC